rfam:Populus trichocarpa scaffold_5_contig_125, whole genome shotgun sequence.
GUUGCUAUGAUGAAGUUAAGCACCAAAUGUGUUGAAGAGCAGUGUUCUUGUCGUGAGCUCUCUUUUAUAAACGACUUCUCCUUCCGCUGAGCCUC